rnacentral:lncRNA from 1 species
GAACUAGUGAAGGGACUAAUCAAAUAUAUAUAAUCAGGGCUUAAAUAUUUUUGUAAUUAAAUUUUGACUUUAUAUUUAUCAAUUAUGAAUUAUUUAGUAAUGGAGUCAAUAUACUAAAUGUAUCAUUGUAAGUACCCAAAUUUGCCCAAGCCUAAUAAGCCCAAAUCAGACAAAAACAAAAAUAAACAAAAACCAAACUAAAAUUAAAAUGUCCAUUUAAAACCCAAAGCCCAAUUCCAAACCCAACAGACUUACCCAACUAGCCCAAAACUAUUAAAAACCUACGGGCCCGAUAGGCCCACUACCUAAACUAGUUUCAGCAAAGUUGAAACCCUAACCCUUAGUGCGCCGCUCCCCACGUGGUGUCGGCACCUUCUCCGCUGCAACGUUGCCACCGGCCUCCUCCACACUCUGACAGCACCUGCAAAACCAAAGCAACAAGCAAAACAAAAGCAGAGACAACGGCAACAGUAGCAAACAUAAAACAAAAUAGCAAUAAUAUAUUUUGUAAUCAGCUAUAAAGCCGAAAAGAAAACGCAUGUAAAAAGGGGGGAUUUUUUGAUUAAAAAAAUCGAUUCAGACAUACAAAUAAUAAUAAUAAAAAGAGACAGUUGAAAAAAAAUCCAAAGGUGCUAAGGUCUUUUUAUUCUCUCUUAUUUUUCUUUCUUCAAAAACUGUUAUUCAUCUAUUUCUUCUCAUUUUCCUAUUUUACGAAGUUAUUUACAUACAUAUAUUAGAAUGUAGUAAAAAAAGAGGAAAAAGAAAGUACCUGGAGCGUUCGGCCAUCGUCCAUGGCAGAGGAGUGGCGGUCAUGGUGACGGCGCAGGAAUGGAUUUCUUUUGAAACCCUAGCAGAGAAAAAAGGAAGAAGCCUUUGAAUUUAUUUCUCAAAAAUCGACUGGAGUGAAAAUUUUAAUUUUUUUUUUGUUUAAAUACCCUGAUUAAACGGCGCUGUUUUGAUGUUUGUUGUUCAGAGGCCAAAACGACGCCGUUUUGACCUCUGACCUGCGCAACCCGACCCGCUUGUACCUAGGAUCCGCGUGUUUCUUAAGCGGAAGGGCUAAUUUCACUUUCAGCCCUUCCGAUUUUUAAUUAUCUUGUAAUUAGGUUUCUUUUUAUUUUUAAUUUGGGCCUUAUAAUUUAUUUUGUUUUUAAUUUGGUCCCCCUGGUGCUGUGCGUUUUGGAGACCUGGAGUAAUUUCGCUGUUAGUCCCUCUGUCUUGGCGCGCUUUUUAUUUUGGCCCCCCGUUUGCCCUUUUCUUUUAUUUAUUUAUAAUUUAUCCUUUCAAGUUUAUUUUAGUUUCGAUUUCAUCCUUUAUUUAAUCAAUUUCAAUCCUUUUAGAUUUUAUAUAACCUAAUUUUUUUUAUUCAUUUGUCUUACUAUUUAUUUACCUUUGUUAUAUUCAAAGUUUUGUUUUCACCUAAUACUUAUUUAUUUAUUAUUUAUAUCUAUUAUAUUUUUAUUUAUUUAUAGUUUGUUUCUUUAAUUUUACUUAAGUUAAAAUUAAGUCCUUAUUUUAAUUCGUUUAUUUAUUCAUUUACUUUCUUGUUU